GAUGAACGCUGGCGGCGUGCUUAACACAUGCAAGUCGAACGGACAGGCUCCUGCUUGCAGGGGUUCUCGAGUGGCGAACGGGUGAGUAACACGUGGGUGGUCUGCCCUGCUCUUCGGGAUAAGCCUGGGGAACUGGGUCUAAUACCGGAUAGGACCACAUUUUGGAUGGUGUGGUGGAAAGUUGUUCGGUGUGGGAUGGGCUCGCGGCUUAUCAGCUUGUUGGUGGGGUAAUGGGCUACCAAGGCGUAGACGGGUAGCCGGCCUGAGAGGGUGUACGGCCACAAUGGGACUGAGAGACGGCCCAGACUCCUACGGGAGGCAGCAGGGGGGAGUAUUGCACAAUGGGCGCGAGCCUGAGGCAGCGACGCCGCGUGGGGGAUGACGGCCUUCGGGUGGUAAACACCUUUCGCUGGGGACGAAGCGCAAGUGACGGUACCUGGAGAAGAAGCACCGGCUAACUACGUG
rnacentral:rRNA from 1 species